AAUCCGUGAUGUGGGCAUUGUCUGAGCAUAUUAUUGUAUCUAUCCCAUGCUUCAAAUGAGGAUUCAGUGUCUGACUGCCUGAAGUUUGCAAUAAGAUUUCUUAUAUGAGU